rnacentral:rRNA from 1 species
AACGAACGCUGGCGGCAUGCCUAACACAUGCAAGUCGAACGAGACCUUCGGGUCUAGUGGCGCACGGGUGCGUAACGCGUGGGAACCUGCCCUUAGGUUCGGAAUAACUCCCCGAAAGGGGUGCUAAUACCGGAUAAUGUCUUCUGACCAAAGAUUUAUCGCCUUUGGAUGGUCCCGCGUUGGAUUAGCUAGUUGGUAGGGUAAAAGCCUCCCAAGGCGAGGAUCCAUAGCUGGGCUGAGAGGAUGAUCAGCCACACUGGGACUGAGAAACGGCCCAGAAUCCUACGCGAGGCAGCAGUGGGGAAUAUUGGAAAAUGGGCGAAAGCGUGAUCCAGCAAUGACGCGUGAGUGAUGAAGUCCUUAGGGUUGUAAAGCUCUUUUACCCGGGAUGAUAAUGACAGUACCGGGAGAAUAAGCUCCGGCUAACUACGUG